AGCUCACUGAGUGACUUUGGGCUUCUCACAGACUCUCAGGCUGGCCUACCUUACAUGGUUGUUGUGGGGCUAAGAUGGAG